rnacentral:rRNA from 1 species
UGGGGAAUAUUGCACAAUGGGGGAAACCCUGAUGCAGCGACGCCGCGUGAGCGAUGAAGGCUUUCGAGUCGUAAAGCUCUGUCCUAUGGGAAGAUAAUGACGGUACCAUAGAAGAAAGCCCCGGCUACUUACGUGCCAGCAGCCGCGGUAAUACGUAAGGGGCGAGCGUUGUCCGGAAUUAUUGGGCGUAAAGAGUGCGUAGGCGGCAAAUUAAGUCAGAUUUGAAAACUAAGGGCUCAACCCAUAGAUUGCAUCUGAAACUGAUAUGCUUGAGUCAAGGAGAGGAAAGUGGAAUUCCUAGUGUAGCGGUGGAAUGCGUAGAUAUUAGGAGGAAUACCGGUGGCGAAGGCGGCUUUCUGGACUUGAACUGACGCUGAGGGACGAAAGCGUGGGGAGCAAACAGG